rnacentral:rRNA from 1 species
UAGCCUAACGGCUGAACCAGCAACUUGGAAGAAUGUAUAGCAAUUGCUAGUUACAUUGUACAAUGUAAUUUCGACAUAAUCGAAUAAAGUUCUGGAUAGAAUUUGAUAAUGACAUUUUUUAUUCAUGUGUCUUGACCAAAUAACGUGCCAGCAGUCGCGGCAACACGUAUAAGACUAGUGUUAUUCAUAUUAAAAAGGUUUAAAGGGUACCUAGACGGAAGAUCAAGCCAUAGACGGGACUAAUCUUCUAGAGUUACUUGCGAUGAGGCUAGAAAGUACUAGUGGUGUAGAGAUAAAAUUCUGUAAUACCAUUUUUCAAAAGAAAAUAAAUGGCACCUGGUAAAGGCGAAAGCAUCCUUUUAUGUGAUAACUGACGUUGAGGGACGAAGGCUUUGAAUAGCGAAUAGGAUUAGAUACCCUAGUAGUCGAAGGAGAAAAUGAUGAGUGUUAUUGGUUGGAAAAUUUUUAACCUAUAAAUGAAAGUGUAAGCACUCCACCUUAAGAGUAAGAUGGCAACAUAGGAACUGAAAUCAUUAGACCGUUUCUGAAACCAGUAGUGAAGUAUGUUGUUUAAUUUGAUAAUCCGCAAAAAACCUUACCACAAUUUGAAUAUUACAAGCGUUGCACGGCUGUCUUCAGUUAAUGUCGUGAGACAUUGGUUAGAUUCAUAAAAUUAGCGCAAGCCCUUGCUCUAUUUAAAAAUAAAGCAGUUCUCCGUUAUAUUGGAUAAGAUAAAAGGGACUAAGGCAAGUCAUCAUGGCCUAAAUAUUGUGGGCAAUAGACGUGCCACAUUGACCAUUACAAAAGGAUGUGAAAUUGUGAAAUUAAACUAAUCCUUAAAACUGGAUAUAAUCUU